AUUGAACUUUGGCGGCAGGCCUAACACAUGCAAGUCGAGCGGUAACACAGGGAGCUUGCUCCCGGGUGACGAGCGGCGGACGGGUGAGUAAUGUCUGGGAAACUGCCUGAUGGAGGGGGAUAACUACUGGAAACGGUAGCUAAUACCGCAUAAUGUCGCAAGACCAAAGAGGGGGACCUUCGGGCCUCUUGCCAUCAGAUGUGCCCAGAUGGGAUUAGCUAGUAGGUGGGGUAACGGCUCACCUAGGCGACGAUCCCUAGCUGGUCUGAGAGGAUGACCAGCCACACUGGAACUGAGGCACGGUCCAGACUCCUACGGGAGGCAGCAGUGGGGAAUAUUGCACAAUGGGCGCAAGCCUGAUGCAGCCAUGCCGCGUGUAUGAAGAAGGCCUUCGGGUUGUAAAGUACUUUCAGCGGGGAGGAAGGUGUUGUGGUUAAUAACCACAGCAAUUGACGUUACCCGCAGAAGAAGCACCGGCUAACUCCGUGCCAGCAGCCGCGGUAAUACGGAGGGUGCAAGCGUUAAUCGGAAUUACUGGGCGUAAAGCGCACGCAGGCGGUCUGUCAAGUCGGAUGUGAAAUCCCCGGGCUCAACCUGGGAACUGCAUUCGAAACUGGCAGGCUAGAGUCUUGUAGAGGGGGGUAGAAUUCCAGGUGUAGCGGUGAAAUGCGUAGAGAUCUGGAGGAAUACCGGUGGCGAAGGCGGCCCCCUGGACAAAGACUGACGCUCAGGUGCGAAAGCGUGGGGAGCAAACAGGAUUAGAUACCCUGGUAGUCCACGCCGUAAACGAUGUCGACUUGGAGGUUGUGCCCUUGAGGCGUGGCUUCCGGAGCUAACGCGUUAAGUCGACCGCCUGGGGAGUACGGCCGCAAGGUUAAAACUCAAAUGAAUUGACGGGGGCCCGCACAAGCGGUGGAGCAUGUGGUUUAAUUCGAUGCAACGCGAAGAACCUUACCUACUCUUGACAUCCAGAGAACUUUCCAGAGAUGGAUUGGUGCCUUCGGGAACUCUGAGACAGGUGCUGCAUGGCUGUCGUCAGCUCGUGUUGUGAAAUGUUGGGUUAAGUCCCGCAACGAGCGCAACCCUUAUCCUUUGUUGCCAGCGGUUAGGCCGGGAACUCAAAGGAGACUGCCAGUGAUAAACUGGAGGAAGGUGGGGAUGACGUCAAGUCAUCAUGGCCCUUACGAGUAGGGCUACACACGUGCUACAAUGGCGCAUACAAAGAGAAGCGACCUCGCGAGAGCAAGCGGACCUCAUAAAGUGCGUCGUAGUCCGGAUUGGAGUCUGCAACUCGACUCCAUGAAGUCGGAAUCGCUAGUAAUCGUAGAUCAGAAUGCUACGGUGAAUACGUUCCCGGGCCU
rnacentral:rRNA from 1 species